UCUGAAAACAAACGCGUCGUUAAGCUUCGUAGUUUCGCAUAAGUCGUAGUGGCAACACCGUAAAUACGUAAGAGCAAUGGUAAGCUAAAUACGUAAUAUUCUCGCACAGAGAGAAAAUUGUAUAUCAGCUUGCACGUGACCUAAUUGGAACUCGCUGGACAAUAGCAGCGAACAGAAUGAGAUUGGUAAAUUCUGAUAUCCAAAGUGCAACGUUUCUUUCCAAUAACACUGAAUCCUACUUUUUUAUCACUUUGGCUUUUCGAGAAAUCUGCAGAAAUUCCCGUUACACUGUACGGUUCGUUCGUUAAAUCGAACGUUCGAAUAUCUUCCCCGAAAAGAACAAGAGAAAAGAAAAAUUGGAAGGUAAGGCUGUAGUAAAGCUCAAGGAUGGAAUUUCGCUUACAUCAUCGAGUUAGUUUACCUGCAGAGGUUCGAGCGUAUUAAUUUUCCUAUAUCGACAUUUACGAUCAAGGGUGAAUCGAUAUACGAAGAACGACGAGCAACGCCAAUUAGAGAAAGCUAGGCUGAAUUUGGACGAAGAAGGAAAGUGGGAACGAGGACAAGGUAGGAAAAGAGAAGAAGUGGAAGAGGAAGUGGAAGAGGAAGAGGAAAAGGUACGGUUUCAGGAGGUUAACAGGGGGGGGGGGAGGAGAGAGAGAGCCGGAUAGGUGGGAAUUCUGGCUGGUGGUUGGGUUGGCAAGGGAGGGCCUGUGGUGCUAGAGCAUUUGGUAUCCGUGGUUCUGUACGGUAGCGGCUAGGCAAAAGGGGGCUAGAGGAGAGCAGGGUCGAUGACCCUUGCACGUGGAGUGUUCGGAAGUAGGCCACGCCGUGACAUCACGCAAAAGCAAGAUGGCAGUCGGGAAACGGGCACAUUCUCACAAGUAUGCUCGGCAUACGACUCGACGGAGACGUGCCGACGCCUGUGCAAUCGAAUCUUUUCCUUGGGCGAGGGUGCGUUCCGAUAUUCAACGCCAUCUCUCAUCACGACCUCUUCCUUCUUCUCUCUCCAUCUUCCUGCUAUCGGUCUUCUGCUCUUGUCGCGUUUCAAGCAUCGCGGUUCGAUGCGUGCCAAUGUUUGCGGUGACUAUCGGAAAUCGGAACGCGUAAUUUUCAUGCAGCUGCCGGCCGAGUUGCAUCAGCGUCUCCCAACUCGCGUGCAUCGAACGUGUCACGAUAGCUGGAAAUUUUCCGACUGCUUCCAGCUAAAUCCGCUACAUCUUCUAAUAAACGUUCGCUCGGGCAGCAAUACGUCACGUUUCACGAGUUUGCUCCGCUAAAUUUUACAUCGUGCUUUGUUAAGGUCUCGUGAUAACGUCUCGUGAUAUUCGAUGAGAAUGUUGCGUCUCGUUCAACGACCGAACGCCCCCCCAAAAAAAAGAAAGAAAAUAAAAAGAAGAAAAGAAUCGUUCAAGUUGUCAGCAGGAAAAAAGACGAGCGCAAUUACUCGGUUGGUAUCGUCGCGUUCGAGUGAAAUAAUCAGUGCCGACGGGAAUUGUCGUACGAUUACGCGUUAUACAAUCGCGAGACAAACAAAAACUUUAUUACCAGCGAAUAAUCCCGAGCGUGAUCGUUUCAAGCGAUUAGACAGAUCGUACGACGUUAGAACGUAACGGACAGCGAAUCGUGAAAAUCGCGGGUCGCACGGAAUCACGAACAUCGAAGGCAUUGCGCGCGCGCCAUCCGUGUCCGUAUGCAUUGCGUGGAGUCGCGUUGCGUAUUCGUCGUGCGUGUGCACGGAUGCAACCGCGGAUAGCGUUCUUUAUUCGGAACGUGCGAGCGCGAGAACGUGAGCAGGUAUAUGGCACCGUUGAAUAUUGGACGAAAGUCAAAUUCAUCUUACAUUAUUUUAGCGUCCGCGGCGAGCCGAUGUAUUACAGAAAUACGAGCUCGUCUGUAGCGUGCGUGCGAGCGUCUAUGAUUUCUGUUUGUAUUUUAAUUGCGAUGAUGUAAGCUCAUGCGGAUGCACACACCAAGUUUUCCUUGCUCCAUCUACCGUUUCGUCUCUUUCGAUUUCGGAAUUUUCGAUACGUACAUACUUAAAGUAGUCAAGUUUCGGCCAGGCGUAUAAACGUACGAAGAAUCGUAUUUAUGUAAGUACAUGUACGUAACACGUAUAUCGUCGUUAUCAGGUAUGCGUGAUAUGAUAGGGAAUUUUAUAGGGAAUUAUAAAAUACAACGCGAAGACGAAAAGUGUUUCCUUCCUGAAAAAUCUAUUGCGUUUGUAACAACGAAAAUUCUUUAGACGAUAGAACCUGGCAAUUGUUCGACGGAAAGUACAAAGUCUAGUACGAGUUGGUAUACUACAGACAUAGAAGUGUACCUACUUGCGAUGCAAUUACGAUGAUGUAACGCGUAUAUCUUAUCGGAAAAUUUUAUUUCUAAUUCCAUUUCUAUCUGUUCAUAAAAUAAACGUUUAUUUCAGAGUUUGUGCUUUGUUUCACGCUUCCACUUUAGACGUUAAAUAACUGUAUGCGAAUGUAAUUAAGUUAUUUGUAAACGUAUUGAACAACAUUUAAAAAGAAGUUACGUAAAUAAAUCGUUUUCCAUGAAACGUA